rnacentral:rRNA from 1 species
UACGUAGGGGGCAAGCGUUGUCCGGAUUUAUUGGGCGUAAAGAGCGUGUAGGCGGCCAGACAGGUCAGCUGUGAAAACUCGAGGCUCAACCUCGAGACGUCGGUUGAAACCGUUUGGCUAGAGUCCGGAAGAGGAGAGUGGAAUUCCCGGUGUAGCGGUGAAAUGCGCAGAUAUCGGGAAGAACACCCGUGGCGAAGGCGGCUCUCUGGGACGGUACUGACGCUGAGGCGCGAAAGCGUGGGGAGCGAACAGG